UCAGACAGACUCCUGCACUUCCUCAACCAAGCAAACUUUUUUUUAACUUAACCCAGCUCCCAAAAACUAAUGAUAUUUGCAUGUUUUUACUGCUGUAUUAUUCUGAAUACAGCUUGCGAUAGGUAUCACAAAGUGCAGCGAAGUAUAAAUGGAUGUGUUUCGUAAGCUCAUUUAACCAAUCUUUCGGAAGUGCCCUCUUUCAAUUUGUGCCCCCUGUUAUCAUGGUGGUGGUGCUGGCAGGUGGUGAUUGCGGUGGUGGUGUUUGUGGUCAUCAGUGGUGUCAGUCAUUUGUGAUGGUUGAUGUGGUGGUGAAGUAGAAGUCAUUCAAUUAAAUCAGAUUAAAUUAUUACUUCGAUUACAUUAAUGUGAAUUAAAGUUGCACAUGGAACUAUACUAGUUGAAGUUAUAGCUCGCACUACGUUGGGGUCAUUGGGGUCAGGAUGCACAAAUAGUCACCCUUGCUCAAAUACUAUUAAGGUGAUAGAGAUAGGACGAUUGUCGCUUAUAACAAAUGGAUAAUAAAUGGUAUAAAGUCAACUUUAAAUUAUUGUACACCAUUUUUUCAUAUUAAUUAAUUGGAUCCUUUAGAAGAAGUGAUCGUCAGACGAGUUGAGAAGGCCACCGUUCCAGAAUUAACGCCAGAAAUCCAGGCUGUCGUCCCCAAAAAGGUGAAGGAGUGAAGGUUCGACGACCCUAUGUACUUGAUCAUUUUAAAUCGUAUUCCACGCCUGAUUUCAGCUCGACGGGAUUGUAUUCAGCGAUGCCACGUGUUCUUCUGCUUGUGGUUGGUGAGGAAAUCAUUGAAAGUCCAAUGGCAUGGAGAUGUCUUUUCUUUGAGUAUGGUGCAUACCGCCGUUUGAUGAAAGAAUAUUUCAGAGAGGGCGCCAAGUGGACAACAGCCCCUAAACCACAAAUGAGCGAUGAGCUUUAUGACAUGGUAGGUACUAUAAUAUGAUGUUUUGCAUUAGGCUUUACAGUAGAUGUUUCUAUAAAGAGCCUUUCAAUUUAACAUUUUCUUCUAAUAAAAAUUGUUAAAUGUGGCGUGGUGUUGCAGUUUCACUGUUAACCAAUGCGCCAUCAUGUAGUUACACUGCACAUGUUACCAGUGGUGGCGCCAGAAAUUGGCCGACUAUGGAUCUGACAUGUUCGACGGAGGGGUCCUAGCAGGAGCGACAAACCCUCAGUCGACGGCCGGAAUAGAAACUCACUUGUAGGGUUCAUGGGGAGAGUUUUUAUGGCUUAGUAUGGUACAAAAUGUGCUUUUAGACCACAAUAUUAGGGAUUGGCAUUCAAAAUAACGUCAUUUGGAUAGACAAAUAAUUUAUAUAUUUUUGAUCUGACGACUUAGUCGCGUGCGUCGGACGAUAGGGGAUUUAGGCCUGUCCGACGGGGGAAAAUUC